GAAAAUCAGAAAUUAAAAUAAUUAAAACUGUCGCUAAAGGCCCCUAUAGUGACAGAAGUGUCGUUAUAGGUGUUCUUGAGCCUACCCAGAUCUUCAUAAGGCAGAAUCGAGUGGCAUACUUUGACCGUGAAUAACUCUCUCAUCUUAACGAAUCUGGACAGUCUAUAAAUUGGGUCUUGUAGAGGAAAUACAAGAAUAUACGAUCCAACAAUCAUAACCUCUAAACAAACAUCAGAUCUGGGAUAAAUCAGCCAUCAAAGUAGCUACCAAAGCUAUUCUUCACGAAGAACAGUUCGAGGUGCCUACUUUGGACCUCUAUAACUUGAUGAUCGUGUAACUUUUAUGUGAUCUAUCAAUUCCAGUGUGUAGACAACAUGUAGGACUACAAUUCUAACACUUAACAUCAUCAUAACAACAAGAAAUAAAGCAUGUAAAGUAUGGUCAAAUCUUGUCAGAAAAAUUAACACUUGGAAAAUUCUGGGCUGCCCAGAAUUUUCUGGUCAAUGCCGGUCAACCCACUUUGACCUUAAAUAACUCUUAAUCCGUAAUAUAUAUGGACCUGAUUAUUUUUGGAGGUUAAAUACCACAUAACAAGAUACACAUAUCAACCUUUAGAACACAAAACACAUUACAUAUGACCGAGAUAUAAGGCCUGACAUUUGCCAAAAAAAUAUUUCUGGACACUUAGAAUAUUUUCUGGGUUUGAAAAACAGCCGGUCAAUGCCGGUCAACCCACUUUGACCGCUUAGAAAUACCGAUCUACAAUAGAUAUAGACCUGAUUCCUUUUGGAGUUUAAAUACCACAAAACAAGAUACGCCUAACAACUUUUAAAAAACAAAAAAAGUAAAUAAUCACAGAGAUAUAAGUCUUGACAUUUGCCCAAAAAUCACAGAAUUCGGUUUUUCCAACUUGCUCAAAUCUUCAAAUUCGUGCACUUUGAUGUUAUGGGUUCAUGAUUUUACAACCCAGAACAUUAAUACUCCCUAUUACACUACUUUAAACAAUCAAUUUCAUCAAUUAACAUCGAAUCGAAGGAUUUCAAAAUUAGGGAAUUUCAUACCUUUUCUAGCUUCGAUUUUUGAUUUUUUUGGCUUUAAUGUUUCUGAUUUGUUGUUUGUGAUGGCUGGGCUUUGAUUAGGAGCUUAUAUGCUACAAUAAUUCGUAGGUUUUAGAGAGAGAAGCUUAAGGAUGAGAUUUGGAUGCUCAAUAGGGUUGGUAUAAUUGAGGUGUAAUGGUAUAGUAGCAUGAGGGAAUUCUAGAAGCCAUUGAUUAGCUAGCAUAAUGGAAGAUUCCAUCAACAAUGCUACUAAUAAUAUACUAAAAUGGAUAAAAAGGGUAUUUUGGUAAUUUCCCAUAUAAUUUCAUGGGCAUUCUUGUACAUGGCAAUUAAAUGUAAUAUUUAAUCACUAGAUGGUAAUUCUUAUUAUUUACCAAUUACUUUUCAUCCUUUGGUAAAUUAAAACAUUUAUACAUUAACAUCGUAAUUAAACCCGAUAAUUUUAAAUUAGGGUUUUCUAUAGAAAAUUAGGAUUUUCUAAUUAGGGUUUCUUAACGCCAUCAAUUAGGGUUUCUAAUUGACCAUUAGGGUUCUCUAAUUAUCUGUGUAUGUUCUAACACAGUCAUUACGAUCUCUAACUUCAACCGAUUAGGGUUGUAAUAAUUAGGGUUUGUCCUAAUUAUCGACAAACAACAGUAAUUAGGGUUUUCUUCUAAUUACCGACAUCUUAUACACAGUAACCUUCAUAUACACAGUAAACUUCAUAUACACAGUCACUACUCAGUCAUUUCUCAUAACUAAGUUUAAUAAUUAGGGUUUCACAGCACGGUAAUAUGCUAUGACCUAAUUGACCGUCAUUGCUCAAUAUUAUCUGUCCGCACAUACACAGUACAUAAUUAUUGUACUGUAAAAUCAUUAUAACAAUAAUAUAAUAUUAUUAUUCUCAUCUCUUGAUCACAAUCCCAAUUCAGGGUUUGGAUCUCAUAUCUGACUUCUCUUUCGCAUAUCAAGUUAAAAUACUUGAUUUAAAU
rnacentral:lncRNA from 1 species